GUGUCAGCCGCCGCGGUAAUACCAGCACCCCGAGUGGUCGGGACGAUUAUUGGGCCUAAAGCAUCCGUAGCCGGUUCUGCAAGUCCUCCGUUAAAUCCAGCCGCUCAACGGAUGGGCCGCGGAGGAUACUAUAGGACUAGGAGGCGGGAGAGGCAAGCGGUACUCAGUGGGUAGGGGUAAAAUCCUUUGAUCCAUUGAAGACCACCAGUGGCGAAGGCGGCUUGCCAGAACGCGCUCGACGGUGAGGGAUGAAAGCUGGGGGAGCAAACCGGAUUAGAUACCCGGGUAGUCCCAGCUGUAAACGAUGCAGACUCGGUGAUGGGUUAGCCUUGUGCCAGCCCAGUGCCGCAGGGAAGCCGUUAAGUCUGCCGCCUGGGGAGUACGGUCGCAAGACUGAAACUUAAAGGAAU
rnacentral:rRNA from 1 species